rnacentral:tRNA from 2 species
CAGGGCGUCGCGUAGCGGCCAGCGCCCCCGGCCUGGGACCGGGUAGCAGGGGUUCGAGUCCUCUCGCCUUGA